UGGGGAAUAUUGCACAAUGGGGGAAACCCUGAUGCAGCAACGCCGCGUGAGUGAUGACGGUCUUCGGAUUGUAAAGCUCUGUCUUCAGGGACGAUAAUGACGGUACCUGAGGAGGAAGCCACGGCUAACUACGUGCAGCAGCCGCGGUAAUACGUAGGUGGCAAGCGUUGUCCGGAUUUACUGGGCGUAAAGGGAGCGUAGGUGGAUAUUUAAGUGGGAUGUGAAAUACUCGGGCUUAACCUGGGGGCUGCAUUCCAAACUGGAUAUCUAGAGUGCAGGAGAGGAAAGUAGAAUUCCUAGUGUAGCGGUGAAAUGCGUAGAGAUUAGGAAGAAUACCAGUGGCGAAGGCGACUUUCUGGACUGUAACUGACACUGAGGCUCGAAAGCGUGGGGAGCAAACAGGAUUAGAUACCCUGGUAGUCCACGCCGUAAAACGAUGAAUACUAGGUGUAGGGGUUGCCAUGACCUCUGUGCCGCCGCUAACGCAUUAAGUAUUCCGCCUGGGGAGUACGGUCGC
rnacentral:rRNA from 1 species